GGUACUUUAGGAAUGAAUAAUGAAUGCAAGCUCUUCCCCCAUUUAAUGAACAGACAUUUGGUAAACUUGAGGAAAAUAGAAAUGCAGGCUUAUCCUCCUUUUAAUAAGGAACGUAUUGAACUUUAGGGAAAAUAACAAAUAAAGCUUUUCCCCGACAGAACAGUCCUGCCGCUUCCACGUUUUCUAUCCCGGUAAGUAAUCGAGUCCAGUCGGUUAAUUUGUACUGUACAUUAAGCCAUGGAGCGGCUAAGAUCAAGUUUCCAUACGAAUUGUGCAUUUGAUGAUAAAAGCACCAAAGGUGGUCAUCAUAUAAUAAAAACAUGUCUGAAAUAAGUUCAGAUAUGGUGUCAUCUCAAAGUUUGCGCUUGUGCGCAUGCGAAGUACAUAAACUAUGACAUACUAUUUUCAACGUUUUCCCUUAAAUAUUAAGUAUAGCCAAUCAAUAAACACCUAUACUUUUUCACCUAAACACAUAUAGUCAUUUGCAGUUACAUGCAAAGACAAAAUAUACAUAAUUUUAAAAUGAUAGAAAACAAUAAGAACUCCCUCUUCCCAAAAUAGCGAAAAAUGAAAUUAUUUUGAGUGCCUCCAUAUACUAAAAUGUUCGUGUAUGAAUGUGCGAAAUUUCAUGCUUUCAUCAUUCAAUGCACAUUUUAUGUGUUGAGUCGCUCCAUUAGUAUAGCCGAGCGGCGUUGACAGCGAGAGAUCACAAGACGUGCGCUUGUAAAAUGUCAACAACUGAAGAAACGUUGUGGUUGGCCUCAGAAUCAGUCGGUCAUCUUCGACUUUUCCCGGGACUCAUCGCCAUGACGUCACGAUUAACGCCCACAGCGCGUGCCAUAUAUAAGCUUCUGCAUUUCGACGUGGAGCAAAACACGCUCGAACCAGAUCGACAUCAAAAGCGUUCUUCGUAAUAGCGCAAACAUGAGGGGAUUUGCUUUCGUUGCACUCAUCAUUGUGGCUGCGGGGUGCUUGGUGAGUGACGUCAUGGCCCAGUCCCCAACAGAAAUCAGCUGCUCCGCCUCUUUCCAGGCGAAAAUUCAAUUUGCUCGGCGGUGCAGAUCUGAAGGAAAACGGAUUUUCUAUGCCGGAGAUGGAAUGCCAGGGAACUGCUUCUACGUGUGCAGAAACGAAUAGCCCUAUCAGGACUUCUCGUAGAUGUCAUCAUCGGAGAGUGGUCUCACCUUGAAGUCAUGAUUAUUCAGAAUAUUCAGGUCAAUAAAUACUGCACAGCUUA